rnacentral:lncRNA from 1 species
UAUAUGAAAGAAAAAAAAUUUCGCGUUUCGAUUUUUCUAAAUAGAUAAAGAAGUUCGGACAGAGCUGCAAGACGACUUGGAGUUCGACCGGAAUUCUCACCGUGGAUUCCGUCAAAGUUUGAAAUUUUCACGCAUUUUAGAUUUUUCUUGCUAGAAAAGUUUGAAGAUCGGACAAAGCUGUGAGAAGAACCAGAGUUCAACUGGAGCUCUUGCCGUGGGUUUGGUCAAAGUUCGAAAAUUUCUGCCGUAUUCAUCGGGCUGGACCCUC